GGCGCUGCGGUCGCUGAAGCCGGGACCCCGGGCGCGGGGGGGCCAGGGUGCUGACGUCCGGGGCCGGAAGCAGACGUCCCGGCGGCGCCUGGAAGCCAGCGUGUUUCUGCCCGAGACCGUGGCGUCAGGGCUGGAGAGAGCAGGCAGCUCGCGGAAGCCUCAGGCGGCGGGCAGCCGGUUGGGGGUUCCGGCAGCACAGAAAGCCGCGGCGCUGGGGAGCCGGCGUUGCGUGCCUGAAGAGCCCUCCCCGGAGUUUUCCAGACAGGAUUCCCCGGAACAGAAGCGUGCCUCACCUGCGAGCUGCCAGGGCUCUGUUCCCGGAGCAGACGAAACGUGAUGCACUCACGGAACGCCGUUUAAUUUACCUUCCUGAAAUGUGACAGUGACGCCCCCCUCCCUCCACGCUCUGGAAUCGGCGUCUCUGCGCUUCCCAGGGAGACACCACACACUCCUGAGGCCGGCCAGGCCGGGGCAGAAAUACCUGCUGUGGACAAAGAGAUGCACAGAGAUCACAGAGAAGCUAAGGGACCCCGAACAGGCAGCGAUCUGCUGAGUGUUCAUGUGUUCAGACAAGGGCAACUUAAAAGAAUUAUCUGGUGUCAUGAAAGGUGAUAAAAUCCAGAAAAACCCGCAGAAUGCGAACAGAGCUUUAAAUAAGAGCGUUCAUCAAAGGUAUGAAGACACGUCGUUUAGACGCCAUCGCAGUGAAGACACUAGUGAGUACAAAGCUAAGGGUAACUAACGUGUUGAUAACUAUGUACAAGAAUUCAGUACCUUGCAUAAUUCCCGCUUUCUAGCCUUCUAUUUUCAUCCAUUUUCUACAUUUUCAUAAGCCAUAAAUAAAAGUUUGUUUCUUCCCCUUUUUCAUGCCUGUUCUCCCAUAAACAACCUUCUACUGACAGUCGUGGGUUAUUCAGGAAGAACAAGAUGAUGGGAAGUAAAAUGAGUCGGUAAGGGGCAUUUUUCUUUAUUCUAAACAUUCCACCUGUCUAACUGUAUUUAUGGCAUGUCAAACACCUGUUUUUAUUGCCAAGGGACCAAUCUGGUUCUAAAGUCGCAGGCAGUGAUGGUCUGGGAGGGUGUUCAGAUACAGUUUCUCGAGCAAGGCAGAUGGCAAUCAAAAGUAACUUCACAAUUUUACUUUUUACCACAACCACAUAAACCUGAAGAGACGCAUGGGGGCAGCAUGGCCACGACUUCACAGUAAACGGUGCGCAGCCCGCGUUCGGC